rnacentral:rRNA from 1 species
AGUGAACGCUGGCGGUAGGCCUAACACAUGCAAGUCGAACGGCAGCACAGUAAGAGCUUGCUCUUACGGGUGGCGAGUGGCGGACGGGUGAGGAAUACAUCGGAAUCUACUUUUUCGUGGGGGAUAACGUAGGGAAACUUACGCUAAUACCGCAUACGACCUACGGGUGAAGGAAGGGGUUCUUCGGCCCUUGCGCGAUUGAAGAGGCGGAUGUCGGAUUAGCUAGUUGGCGGGGUAAAGGCCCACCAAGGCGACGAUCCGUAGCUGGUCUGAGAGGAUGAUCAGCCACACUGGAACUGAGACACGGUCCAGACUCCUACGGGAGGCAGCAGUGGGGAAUAUUGGACAAUGGGCGCAAGCCUGAUCCAGCCAUACCGCGUGGGUGAAGAAGGCCUUCGGGUUGUAAAGCCCUUUUGUUGGGAAAGAAAAGCAGCAGGUUAAUACCCCGCUGUUCUGACGGUACCCAAAGAAUAAGCACCGGCUAACUUCGUG